AGGACGAACGCUGGCGGCGUGCUUAACACAUGCAAGUCGAGCGGAAAGGCCCUUCGGGGUACUCGAGCGGCGAACGGGUGAGUAACACGUGAGCAACCUGCCCUUAGCUUCGGGAUAGCUCCGGGAAACCGGAAUUAAUACCGGAUAUGACUAUGGCCGACAUCAGCCAUGGUGGAAAGUUUUUCGGCUAGGGAUGGACUCGCGGCCUAUCAGCUAGUUGGUGAGGUAACGGCUCACCAAGGCGACGACGGGUAGCCGGCCUGAGAGGGCGACCGGCCACACUGGGACUGAGACACGGCCCAGACUCCUACGGGAGGCAGCAGCGGGGAAUAUUGCGCAAUGGGCGAAAGCCUGACGCAGCGACGCCGCGUGGGGGAUGAAUGCCUUCGGGUUGUAAACCCCUUUCAGCAGGGACGAAGCGAAAGUGACGGUACCUGCAGAAGAAGCGCCGGCUAACUACGUGCCAGCAGCCGC
rnacentral:rRNA from 1 species